rnacentral:piRNA from 1 species
UGCAUAAUAAUUUGUUUCUUU